GAUGAACGCUGGCGGCGUGCCUAAUACAUGCAAGUCGAGCGAACGGACGAGAAGCUUGCUUCUCUGAUGUUAGCGGCGGACGGGUGAGUAACACGUGGAUAACCUACCUAUAAGACUGGGAUAACUUCGGGAAACCGGAGCUAAUACCGGAUAAUAUUUUGAACCGCAUGGUUCAAAAGUGAAAGACGGUCUUGCUGUCACUUAUAGAUGGAUCCGCGCUGCAUUAGCUAGUUGGUAAGGUAACGGCUUACCAAGGCAACGAUGCAUAGCCGACCUGAGAGGGUGAUCGGCCACACUGGAACUGAGACACGGCCCAGACACCGACGGGAGGCAGCAGUAGGGAAUCUUCCGCAAUGGGCGAAGGCCUGACGGAGCAACGCCGCGUGAGUGAUGAAGGUCUUCGGAUCGUAAAACUCUGUUAUUAGGGAAGAACAUAUGUGUAAGUAACUGUGCUCAUCUUGACGGUACCUAAUCAGAAAGCCACGGCUAACUACGUG
rnacentral:rRNA from 1 species